rnacentral:rRNA from 1 species
AUACCGGACUCAUCCGAGGCCCGGUAAUCGGAAUGAGUACACUUUAAAUCCUUUAACGAGGAUCAAUUGGAGGGCAAGUCUGGUGCCAGCAGCCGCGGUAAUUCCAGCUCCAAUAGCGUAUAUUAAAGUUGUUGCGGUUAAAAAGCUCGUAGUUGAAUCUGUGUCCCGCUCUGUCGGUUCACCGCUCGCGCGGUGUUUAACUGGCAUCGACGCGGGACGUCCUGCCGGCGGGCGCGGCUCGUCGCGGGUCCACACGGUGCGGUGCGUGCGACGUCCGUCGCCGGUUCUUUCAACGGGGCCGGCGGCGUCGCGUCGUGCGUGCUCGCCGUCCGCGGCGGCGGCCCGGUCUCGCGGUCCGUCGCGUGCGAAAGCGCGCGCGUCGCGAGACGCACCUGUCGCGGUGCUCUUAACCGAGUGUCGAGGCGGGCCGGCACGUUUACUUUGAACAAAUUAGAGUGCUCAAAGCAGGCUUGUUAUACGCCUGAAUAGUGUGCGCAUGGAAUAAUGGAAUAGGACCUCGGUUCUAUUUUGUUGGUUUUCGGAAUUUCCGAGGUAAUGAUUAAUAGGGACAGGUGGGGGCAUUCGUAUUGCGACGUUAGAGGUGAAAUUCUUGGAUCGUCGCAAGACGGACAGAAGCGAAAGCAUUUGCCAAAGAUGUUUUCAUUAAUCAAGAACGAAAGUUAGAGGUUCGAAGGCGAUCAGAUACCGCCCUAGUUCUAACCAUAAACGAUGCCAGCUAGCGAUCCGCCGACGUUCCUCCGAUGACUCGGCGGGCAGCUUCCGGGAAACCAAAGCUUUUCGGUUCCGGGGGAAGUAUGGUUGCAAAGCUGAAACUUAAAGGAAUUGACGGAAGGGCACCACCAGGAGUGGAGCCUGCGGCUUAAUUUGACUCAACACGGGAAAUCUCACCAGGCCCGGACACCGGAAGGAUUGACAGAUUGAGAGCUCUUUCUUGAUUCGGUGGGUGGUGGUGCAUGGCCGUUCUUAGUUGGUGGAGCGAUUUGUCUGGUUAAUUCCGAUAACGAACGAGACUCUAGCCUGCUAACUAGGCGUAAGCUUCACUUUUCCGGUAUCCCGAAGGCCCGGCCGGUCGUCCGCAGCGUCGUCGCGUUAACGCGCGGCGGCCUCGGCGAUUCGCGUCGCGGUUUUUCGCUACCGGCGUUUAUACAAAUCUUCUUAGAGGGACAGGCGGCUCUCAGCCGCACGAGAUUGAGCAAUAACAGGUCUGUGAUGCCCUUAGAUGUCCUGGGCCGCACGCGCGCUACACUGAAGGAAGCAGCGUGUAGUUCCCUGGCCGAAAGGUCCGGGUAACCCGCUGAAACUCCUUCGUGCUAGGGAUCGGGGCUUGCAAUUAUUCCCCGUGAACGAGGAAUUCCCAGUAAGCGCGAGUCAUAAGCUCGCGUUGAUUACGUCCCUGCCCUUUGUACACACCGCCCGUCGCUACUACCGAUUGAAUGAUUUAGUGAGGUCUUCGGACCGUCGCUCGGCGACGUUUCGACGCUGCCGUAGUCGAUAGAAAGAUGACCGAACUUGAUCAUUUAGAGGAAGUAAAAGUCGUAACAAGGUUUCCGUAGGUGAACCUGCGGAAG